UUCCUCACGCUGAGCAGUCAAGACACAAGGACACCAGAGGCGCUGAAAAUGAACUCUUCUCCAGGAUCAGUGAUUGUGCUAUUCUUAUUAUUUGGAGGAAACAAUGGAGACACAGUGACCCAGACAGAAGGCCAAGUGACCCUCUCUGAAGGGGCUUUUCUGACUGUGAACUGCUCCUAUGAAACCACAGGGUACCCUGUCCUUUUCUGGUAUGUGCAGUACUCCCAUGAAGGUCUGCAGCUUCUCCUAAAAGCCACAAAGGCCAAAGAAACAGGAAGUAACAAAAGUUUUGAAGCCACGUACAAUAAAGAAACAUCUUCUUUCCACUUGAAGAAAGCCUCAGUCCAAGAGUCAGACUCGGCUGUGUACUACUGUGUUUUGGGUGACACAGUGACAGGAACUGUAGUGGAAGCUGAGCACAAACUCCAAGCAGCACAGGAAGGGCAGGUGGCUGAGUCUCUGAUGCAGUGAUCCACUCUGGUUUAG